rnacentral:rRNA from 1 species
GACGAACGCUGGCGGCGUGCUUAACACAUGCAAGUCGAACGGAAAGGCCCUGCUUUUGUGGGGUGCUCGAGUGGCGAACGGGUGCGUAACACGUGAGUAACCUGCCCUUGACUUUGGGAUAACUUCAGGAAACUGGGGCUAAUACCGGAUAGGAGCUCCUGCUGCAUGGUGGGGGUUGGAAAGUUUCGGCGGUUGGGGAUGGACUCGCGGCUUAUCAGCUUGUUGGUGGGGUAGUGGCUUACCAAGGCUUUGACGGGUAGCCGGCCUGAGAGGGUGACCGGCCACAUGGGGACUGAGGGACGGCCCAGACUGCUACGGGAGGCAACAGUGGGGAAUAUUGCACAAUGGGCGGAAGCCUGAUGCAGCAACGCCGGGUGCGGGAUGACGGCCUUCGGGUUGUAAACCGCUUUCGCCUGUGACGAAGCGGGAGUGACGGUAAUGGGUAAAGAAGCACCGGCUAACUACGUG